rnacentral:rRNA from 1 species
UGGGGAAUUUUGGACAAUGGGCGCAAGCCUGAUCCAGCCAUGCCGCGUGCGGGAAGAAGGCCUUCGGGUUGUAAACCGCUUUUGUCAGGGAAGAAAUCUUCUGAGUUAAUACCUCGGGAGGAUGACGGUACCUGAAGAAUAAGCACCGGCUAACUACGUGCCAGCAGCCGCGGUAAUACGUAGGGUGCGAGCGUUAAUCGGAAUUACUGGGCGUAAAGCGUGCGCAGGCGGUUUUGUAAGACAGAGGUGAAAUCCCCGGGCUCAACCUGGGAACUGCCUUUGUGACUGCAAGGCUUGAGUGCGGCAGAGGGGGAUGGAAUUCCGCGUGUAGCAGUGAAAUGCGUAGAUAUGCGGAGGAACACCGAUGGCGAAGGCAAUCCCCUGGGCCUGCACUGACGCUCAUGCACGAAAGCGUGGGGAGCAAACAGGAUUAGAUACCCUGGUAGUCCACGCCCUAAACGAUGUCAACUGGUUGUUGGGAAGGUUCCUUCUCAGUAACGUAGCUAACGCGUGAAGUUGACCGCCUGGGGAGUACGGCCGCAAGGUUGAAACUCAAA